GUAGGAUUUUCUCGAAUUUUCUAACGAAUAAUAAAUGUGUCGGAAAGUAUGCUGCGAGAUUUAAAAUAGUACGAUAUACCUUUGGAAAUAUCAAUUUUAAAGAGUUGGAAAAUAUCAAUUUUAAAAAGUCAAAAAAAUCACGAAAUUUUUAAGUAUUUGUUUUAUUGGUAAAUUUUUAUUUGCAGAAAGAUCGAUGAUGAUAUUCACGGGUUUGAAAUAAAUAUGAUUUCGCGUUUUAGCGCUAGAAUGUUUUCCAUCAGCGAGAGAGCGUUAUUCCAUGCUAUUCCGUGAAAUAACGUUACGGCAUUGCAUUUAACAAUCACCGCAAUUCCUGAGAAGCCGGGAAGAGGAGAGAAGGGCUAGGAAUUUCUACUCUUGCGAAAGGUCAAAUUUGGAUUUACUGCUCAAAGAUACUACAUUUACAAAGCGCCUAUUUCGAUAUAUAUUGCAAAAAUGACGCAUUGAAGCGAUCAAAGUGCACGCUCAUUUAUCGUCCAGAGAUUUAUAUAAAAUGACAUCAGCGCAAACUUUUCCUUUGAAGACUGCAUCUGUUCCAUCCGAGCCAUAAAGAGCUGGCAACGAUGGAAACGUCACGCAUACAAUCAAAAAGUUGUGGGCUGAUUCUACCGUCGUCGAUUAUAAUUUCGGUUAUUUGUUCUCUUUUCGCUUGUCUCUCAAAUCUUCAACAAAUAUGGACCCACCCAAUAACAUGAGAUAAGAAGAGACGCCAUCGAACAUGAAAGGAUGCCGAUAAAACAGAAGAAGGGGAGAGGGGAAAGCGUGUAGUAAACAGAUGUCGAUCAAAUCUCAAAACUCUAUCAGGAAAAGACCUAAUCAAGGAAAAUCCUGGAAUUCGAUGGCAGGAAGAGGAGAACGAGGAUCUUGUUUCCCGGCCCACCUAGGUCGACGCCGAUUCAUACGGCACUGUCGGUAGCUGCGCGUGAGUUACACAAUACAAUCCUAGAGCCAAGAGCUGAGACCGUGGAGCGACCCGAAUUCUUUCGCCCUUAAGAUCGACAAUUAUCCAGCACAUCCCCGUCAAACGUUGACCGUUACGUUUGCAGACAUGAAUGAAGGCGCCUAUGCAUCGCACGAAUGCGUAUACAAUAAAAUGCGGGAUGAGGAAUUCUAUAGGAAAGGAAUGUUGCAGUUAAGGACUCCAGGACUUCAAAAGGUAUUCCGGUUCAGCAGGGUGCAUUUUUCUGCCCUCUGAGAAAGAAAAAAAGGGCUCGGAGCGCCAAGGUUUUGGAUUUUUCGGCGCCUUCCUUUCCUAACAGUGUCUCAAAUACAUUGAGAUUAUAUAGAUCAUCAUAUUGUCAUCACAAAGUCCACUCAUAUAUCAUAUUCUUCAAGCAUAAAAAAGGGAAUCUUAUCGGGAUCAGCAUUGAUUAGUACCGCAUGAGUAAUUAUAAACGAAACUGCAUGUUUUAAUCCACCGUAUAUGUUCAAAGAUCAAGUCGUUCUGCGAUAGCCAUGUAUAUUCCAGAUUUUGGAAAAUGUAACGAGAUCUGUCGGCGGAUCAUUGAUGAUUACUAUACGAAAUAUAACAUAAAUGAUGACUACUCACCAGGUCAAUGGACUUGCAACUCACGGAAAGCAGUAUAAAGUAGUUACGAUUAUUUUCAUCACAUUGCAUAAUAAUGAUGUCAUAUUGAUACAGAAGAAUAAAUAAUAGCAUUACACCACCAUAAGUGAUGAUGUCAUACUGGAAAUAGAUUAUUCUAUUUGGAGUCACGCUAGUGUGCUAAGAUGUAGUUGAGCGCGUGGAAAAUUUGCGGAUCAUCUUUCAAUUUCCAUAUUUCCACAUCUCCACCGCAAUAGAAGCAGUAGACUUUGUUGUCGUUGUUUACAUAUAUGAAACCAGCGGCCGCUAGAUCUUCCUUUUUCUGGGUGACUGUUGUCGGCCACAAUACUUGGCUAAAAUGAUGUCGCAUUCGAAACAUUGCACGGCAUCAGAAUAUCCGGUAUAAUAAAAACCGGCCCUUGCAAGUACCUUGGGAUGGAGGUUUAUGGAUGUCACGACCCAUCUACAUCUAUCAAAGCUUUGUAGUCUCG